AAUAAUAUAAUUUAAUUUUAUUAAUAAGAAUUAAUUGUUAUUUUAUUAAAAUUUUAAAUUAGAAUUUAUUAAGUAAAAUUUUAAAUUUUAAUUAUAUUUAUAAUAUUAAAUGAAGUUUAAAAAUUUAAAUUAUAAACUAGGAUUAGAUACCCUAUUAUUUUAAAUGUAAUUUUUAUAUUAAAUUAGUAGUAGUUAUGUUCUUGAAAAUUAAAAAUUUUGGCGGUAUUUUAGUCUUUUCAGAGGAACCUGUUUUAUAAAUGAUAAUCCACGAUUUAAUUUACUUUUGUUUUUAAUUUGUAUAUCAUCGUAAUUAAGUAUUUUUUUAGAAUUAUUAAUAUUUAAAUUUUUUAAAAAAAAAAUUAAUCAGAUCACGGUGCAAUUUAUAUAAAAGUUUUAAUGGGUUACAAUAAAUUUAUUUAUGGAAAAUUUUUAUUAUUAGAAAUUUGAAUUUGGAUUUGAAAGUAAGUUUAAUAAAUUAAUUAAAUUGAUUUUGGCUCUAAAAU
rnacentral:rRNA from 1 species